AGGCCGUGAUGGGGACAUUUGCGUAAUAGCUCCUUGAACCUUUCCCAGGUUUCAUAUAAGGAUUCCCCGUCCUCUUGUGAGUAUGUAUUAAUUUCAGCCAUUAAUUU
rnacentral:snoRNA from 2 species